CGUCCCCAGAACGCAGAUCAGAGGUAGUCGGACCUUUCCCGCUGGCGCGCAGCCUCAGCUAGGUCAGACUAUUUUAAGAAAAUAGAAGACUAUCAUUUACAGCUGGUAUGGCCCUGUGGUGGUGUGGACCCAGACUUCAAACACAGAUGAAGAUCGAAAACUGAUAUCCCGCAUCUGAUAUACAAAUUAAGAAUUCAGAGCCCAAUCCUAACUUCAAGCCAAGAAGUAAAAAAAGGAAGAAAAAAUCAAGACGCUCAGAACAGAACUCCAGCAAUAUUGAACCCAGGAAAAACGUCUUCACAAAUACAAAAGUGUUUCAAGGAAAAAUUGAAGUCACUCCUGCCCACAUCCACUGCCCAGUGUAACCGCCCUUAAAGAUUGCUGUGUAUUUGUGUACUAAUUUUUCUGUGUUUAUAAAAUCAUUCAUAUAUUUAUUAAUAACAUGUUUAGAAGAAAUCUCUGCAUUAACCUCAGGGCACACAGCUGUCUUUGAUCGCCCCCAACUCCUCAGAAUGUCCUGCCUCCAUUUCACUCUCCCACAGCUGACUUUCUCCCAUGCUUAGGCCCCCCAAGAGCACCUGCUGAAAAACUACUUCCAACCUUAAGCUCAGGCCCUGACUCACAGCCCUUUAUUCUAACAGAGCCCCUAGGUGUUUGGGCAGAGGUAGGUGGGUAUUACGAGGGAAGCGGGAGGAGGACAGUGAGGCCCCUUAAGUUCUUUGUCCUGGCCAGGCGGCUGCCCUCCUGCAUUACAGGUCUCCACAGGAUAGGUCCCAAUUCCCAACUACUUUCAAUUGGUGGGGUGUGGAUUGGCAGGAUGGGUUAAUGCUCUGCCACAACUUUCUCACUUUAUAAUGGGAGCUGUAUGGUAAAUUCACCUGAUAGUAAUAACUUAAGCAUAUCCUGAGAAUGAUCCUGUAUGGCAGACGCACCUGAAUCCUGAAUGUGUGUUUGAAGUUCUGAGCUAAGAAAUCUGGGGGUGGCCAACACAGAGAUUCAUUUCUUAUUUAUGAAGAAGCUGUGAACCCCCAGCCGUCCCGUCCCAUGGAAUGUGGGCUAUACAGGGGUUCAAGGCCCUGUAUUUUGGGUUAAAUGAAGACUGCCAGGUGGAGGUUGUUAGGGGGAGGCUGUGAAGUGAAAAUAC
ensembl:lncRNA DANT2 DXZ4 associated non-coding transcript 2, distal